rnacentral:snRNA from 1 species
AAAACAGAAGAAAAAAAGCAGGUGGUUCUCUCAGGGUGAGCGUGGUCCCUUGCACUCCCGGCCCGCUGACCCCUGUGAUUUCACCACAUGCAGGAAACUCAGCUGUGGAAUUUGUGGUAGUGGGGGACUGUGCAAGCUCUUCCCUGA